AACUAAGUUUGUUCUUGGUAUGAGCUUUCGUGUGCAUGCACACUUCUUCAGAAAAAGUAUCUGAAGAAGUGUGCAUGCACACAAAAGCUCAUACCAAGAACAAACUUAGUUGG